AGAGUUUGAUCAUGGCUCAGAACGUACGCUGGCGGCACGCCUAAUACAUGCAAGUCGAACGAAGUAGCAAUACUUAGUGGCAGACGGGUGAGUAACAUGUGGGUAUCUUCCCUUUGGUGAGGAAUAACACGAGGAAACUUGUGCUAAUACCUCAUAAGUCUUUACGGAGAAAGCUUUAUGCGCCAUUGGAUGAGCCUGCACUUGAUUAGUUUGUUGGUGGGGUAAUGGCCUACCAAGACAAUGAUCAAUAGCUGAUUUGAGAGGAUGAUCAGCCACAUUGGGACUGAGACACGGCCCAAACUCCUACGGGAGGCAGCAGUAGGGAAUCUUGCACAAUGGAGGAAACUCUGAUGCAGCGAUGCCGCGUGAGUGAAGAAGGCCUUUGGGUUGUAAAGCUCUUUCGUCGGGGAAGAAAAUGACUGUACCCGAAUAAGAAGGUCCGGCUAACUUCGUGCCAGCAGCCGCGGUAAUACGAAGGGACCUAGCGUAGUUCGGAAUUACUGGGCUUAAAGAGUUCGUAGGUGGUUAAAAAAGUUGGUGGUGAAAUCCCAGAGCUUAACUCUGGAACUGCCAUCAAAACUUUUUAGCUAGAGUAUGAUAGAGGAAAGCAGAAUUUCUAGUGUAGAGGUGAAAUUCGUAGAUAUUAGAAAGAAUACCAAUUGCGAAGGCAGCUUUCUGGAUCAUUACUGACACUGAGGAACGAAAGCAUGGGUAGCGAAGAGGAUUAGAUACCCUCGUAGUCCAUGCCGUAAACGAUGUGUGCUAGACGUUGGAAAUUUAAUUUUCAGUGUCGCAGCAAAAGCGUUAAGCACACCGCCUGGGGAGUACGACCGCAAGGUUAAAACUCAAAUGAAUUGACGGGGACCCGCACAAGUAGUGGAGCAUGUGGUUUAAUUCGAAGAUACGCGCAGAACCUUACCAACACUUGACAUGUUCGUCGCGACUCUAAGAGAUUAGAGUUUUCGGUUCGGCCGGACGAAACACAGGUGCUGCAUGGCUGUCGUCAGCUCGUGUCGUGAGAUGUUGGGUUAAGUCCCGCAACGAGCGCAACCCUUACUUUUAGUUGCCACCAUUUAGUUGAGCACUCUAAAAGAACUGCCAGUGAUAAGCUGGAGGAAGGCGGGGAUGACGUCAAGUCCUCAUGGCCCUUACGUGUUGGGCUACACACGUGCUACAAUGGUACUCACAGAGAGAAGCAAAGAGGCGACUCUAAGCCAAUCCCAAAAAAGUACCUCAGUUCGGAUUGUACUCUGCAACUCGAGUACAUGAAGCUGGAAUUACUAGUAAUCGCGGAUCAGCGCGCCGCGGUGAAUACGUUCCCGGGUCUUGUACACACCGCCCGUCACACCAUGGAAGUUGGUUACACCUGAAGGCAAAACGUAAAACUUUUGACUACGGUACGAUCAGCGACUGGGGUGAAGUCGUAACAAGGUAGCC
rnacentral:rRNA from 1 species